CCUACGGGGUGCUGCAGUGGGGAAUAUUGGACAAUGGGCGAAAGCCUGAUCCAGCCAUGCCGCGUGUGUGAAGAAGGCCUUCGGGUUGUAAAGCACUUUCAGUGGGGAAGAAAGCCUUGGGGCUAAUACCCUCGAGGAAGGACAUCACCCACAGAAGAAGCACCGGCUAACUCCGUGCCAGCAGCCGCGGUAAUACGGAGGGUGCGAGCGUUAAUCGGAAUUACUGGGCGUAAAGCGCGCGUAGGCGGUCUGAUAAGCCGGUUGUGAAAGCCCCGGGCUCAACCUGGGAACGGCAUCCGGAACUGUCAGGCUAGAGUGCAGGAGAGGAAGGUAGAAGUCCCGGUGUAGCGGUGAAAUGCGUAGAGAUCGGGAGGAAUACCAGUGGCGAAGGCGGCCUUCUGGACUGACACUGACGCUGAGGUGCGAAAGCGUGGGUAGCAAACAGGAUUAGAUACCCCGGUAGUC
rnacentral:rRNA from 1 species